rnacentral:lncRNA from 1 species
GACGCUGGAAGGGACCUUCACAGUUGGUCCCACAGUUCAUGUUCCUAUUUUACAGAUGAGAAACCAAGGCCCAGGGAGGCUGGAUGCCUUGGGCUUAUGGAAGCACCACCUCCUGGAAGCCUUCUCCUCAGCCACCAUGCUGGCCCAUGCCCUUGUCCCGCCCUGUCUGCAGAGCGAGCCAAGGUAAAGACACGUGACCCCUUCUCUUCUUCUGGAUCAGGCUGCCUCUGUUUUCCAGAGGGCAGGAGCCCAAGACCUAAGAUGAAAAAGGCAGCACUGUUACCACUGACUGCAGACUACCAUGUGGUAGACUUGAGGCUGAAUUCCUUCAUCUUUGAGAAGACCUUGGUUCUUAAGAACUUCAACUGAUUGGACAAGGCCCACCCACAUUACAGAAGAUAAUCUGCUCUACUCAAGAUCUACUGAUUUAAAGCUUAGUCACAUCUGAAAAAUACCUUCACAGCAACAUCUUGACGGGUGUUUGACCAAGCAAUUGGACACCAUAGCCUAGCCAGGUUGACACCUAACAUUAGCCAGGACAUAACCCUACACCUGUUUAUGUCAUAGGCCUGGAUGCCCGAAUCCUGAAUGUGCGGGCUCAGCUUUGAGCUUUCCUGGGAGUCCCCUAGACCACCUGUAAAUACCAGUGCUAGCAGCUGGGUGUAGAGGCGGGUGCCUGACCCCUUUCCUUGGCUACCACUGAAGCUCAUGCAUCUAAUAUGUCUAUUUCAAGAG